UUUUAAAGUAUAAAUUUAUUAUCUGUGAACUAUAACAUCAAGAUAGAGUAUUAUUUAUAUGCAAUGACAAUAUUUAUCUUAGUCAUAAAUAUUAUUGUACACAUCGCAUAGUUAUGAUUCUAAACAAAAACCUAACAACAUACAUGUUUAUUUUAUUAUUUUUUUGUUAAAAUAAUAUUCAGCCCAUAAAUUAGUUAUUUUUUAAUAAAAUUUAUGAUAACAAUAAUUACAGAAGCUUUUGCUGGCUAUAAUUAUUGUGAUGAUUUUUAUAAACUAUCUACAAAAUAUAUAUUCAUUAAUAGAAAUUAAAUUUAAAAUUAUAUCAUAUAGAAAAUAACGUGUUUUAAGAUAAAUGAUAUAUUACCUUAUCAGAUUAUUAAUAUUUGACUAAAUAAUGUAAUAUUUAAACAGUUUGCAAUAAAUCUAUUUAUAUAUUUUUAUUAUAUGGUUACCGAACAUAUUAUGUUGGGUCUGUAAUAUAUGAAUUCUAAAUAACAAAUGCAGCCCAUUAUAUUAACCUUAACAUGUUUAUAUUAUCUAAGAUUAAUAUGUGGACAAAACAUCAACUUUAUCCUCUCUCUACUGUCGGUUUCUCAAAAUUGAAGAAUAAGGCGAUCUACAGACAGCCGACCUUAGUUUGAUGCUCAUCGGUAAAUCACCUAUUGUAACCAAUGACUUUCUUUCUUUCAAUGAGAUAGAACGUGUUGUGAUGACUUCAAAGAGAGUAAAAACGGAUUCAAAGUUUAAGCCGUAAAAAUUCUGAUGGACACCGAAACUUGAAAGAUUUUAUAUACACGCAAGGAAAAUCAUAUAAGGAGAUUCAGAUGCAAUGAGACCGUUUUUAGCGUAUAUCAGGCCAUAUUGGGAACAUGAAGUAUGUGCUUAAGAGCAGCUUGAUGAAGUAACCUCUGUUUGGUUGGGAGUUUCACCUCUUUGAGUUUAUCCCCGUUGAGCGGAGAUGGGAAGUUGAUGACGCGAACUUGAGGCAGAUAGUUUCGAGUUUAAAGGAUCCAAGAGAUGCUUUGUGGCUUGAUAUUUUCCCUGAAGGCAGAGAUUACAUAGAGGCUAAAUGCCAAAGCUGAACAUGGCUUACCAGUUCUGAACAACCUCCAAUUGUCUUCCAAGAACUAAGCUGUUAACUCGAUGAAGUUUAUGAUGUGAUCAAAGUAUGCAUAAGACUCGUUACUGAACGCGUUCCAGCUAAAAGACCAACUUCUUAGUGAGUUAUACCCUCGCGGCCAUUUCCCUAACGAAGGAACAGAAAAGGAGUUCAACACAAUGAAGUGCCUCAUAAACUGCUCGGCAGUGAUUGUCUUCACAGUCGACAUGUUUUUGUGCAGAGCAAUGUAUAUCAGUAACCCAUACUUGUCGCAGCUACAUAUGGAGUUUGUGAAAGCUUUCCAAAUCUGGGAGAAGAUAUAUGUGGCAUUUGAACCGCUUGUGAGCCAUAUCCACCACUCUGAGGUCUGUCACAACUCUGAGGUACAUAUAGAUGAAGAAUGCGAGCUGUGUAAUAAAAAAAAAGACAAUAGGAGAAUACUCAUACUCUUCACGUGAGGGCGCAUCUUUGAAGUCGAGGUGUUAUAUGGAAUAUCAACAAUUUCGUCCACUGAUCGCUUAGAAGGAGUUGCCAUCUUGCUAGAGCUUACAUCACUGUAAGUCAAUAGAGACACCUAGAGUGUAUACAUAUAUUAGGUGUAUAACUUGAAAUAAAUACAAUCAAAAGUAUGACAAUAUGAACAUCAAUACUAUCUACUGCAUACAAAACAGAUCAAUAAAAUCGAGAAAUACCUCUGAUGCUGAGUUUGCUGUUAUUCCCUUUCCAGACAUAGAUUCCGAUUGGGAAUCAACCAUGAGUGUGUUGUAAACUGACCAGGCUAUAAGUACCUUAAAAGUCUCAGAUCCUUUUUCGAUGGUAACCCCAAAAUUAUAAGUCUUCCCCACAAUUUCAUUAAUACAGUCAAGCAACAUCUCAGGAUCUUCAACCUAAAUCAAACUAUAACAAAUCUUUUGGUAAAGGUUGACAAAUUCAAUAACAUAUUAAGUGCAUUUAUGGCAGUAAAAUACCUCAUCCAAAGAACCAUUGAGAAUUUUUUCAGCUUUUACUUCGAUAACUGGCCAUGCAACCCAAUCAAGAAGCACAAAUUUUGCUUUAGCUGUAUCAUCCUUAGCCAUCAGAUGGAGCUUAUAUCUAAUAUUAAAAUCACAAUAACAAAAUAAGAUCAAGAAAUCUUAAUGAUUGUUCGUUAGAUAACUUAAAGAAGACAAAAUUUUACCUUGGUUUAACAUUCAUCACAUUCUCUUUGCAGUUUUCACACCAAACAAAGGCUUGUUUACGCCAGAAAGAUUUAUAUCUUCAACGGGGACUUUAUAAAUCCUGGUUUGACACAAAUCACAUCCAAAAUAAUACCAUGCAUAAUCAGUAUCUAUAGCACAGAUUGUAGCAACAACCUUGCACUUAUCACCCAACGCUUCCACAUUUACUGUUUACUAGGUUAGCUUGCGUUAUUCUGGUCUUGCAUGUUUCGAGUUGAGCUAUAAUGACUCAACCAGGUGUCUGUUUUCUUAUAUAUGCUAUCGAUGUACACGUAUGUGCGAGUGUUUUUCUUAUUGGUCGCUAUUGCGAGCAUAGGUACUUACGUUAUUGUUUGAUUGAACAUAGUAACCCUAUGCUUAAUAAUGAAUAGGACUAGACAUGUAUUGUUUGAAAAUUGCGGAAGACUAAUAAUUGUUGGAGUCUGACUCAGCGGGGCAGAGGUGAGUUCCUACAUGUUGGAGUCUGGCCUAUGGCUUAGCGGGGCAGAGGUGAGUUCAUGCACGUUAGAGUUUUGGUGGGGAUACGGUGGCUGAGUCGAUCCACGUCGUAUCCCAGCGAUCGACAAGCGUCUACGGGCGGUGACUAUAGGCACUUAACCUAUAUAACUAAGCUUAACGGGGCAGAAGUGAGUUCCUGCACAUUGUGACUGGCCGGGGCUUCGAGCGUACAGAGCUGGGCUCUUGUAUUUUGAGUCAUUGCUUGUUUCUUAGAGAUGUCGUGUUUGUGGUUUGUCUAGGCCUAAAUUUACGAUGAUGGGUUAGUAUUCAGUCGAGUUUAGGUUUUGGUUUGGUCUUCACUGAACGGCCUGUUUGAAAAGUUGUUCAUUCCUUUUUUUUUUCUCUUUCCCUUUGAUUUUUGUCAAGCAGAUUCCAGCCUAGAAAAAGUUGGUUUGAGUUAAAGUUGGCGGUUUUUGCUAAAGACGGUUUGCCCGUACCAGAUUUAGCUAAACCCGGAACCCUCUGGAACCGGGUGUCACGAUCACUCUAAAAAAUAGCUAGUGGCUCGGCUCUUCUAGCUUUUAUAAUUCCACGACAUAAGUUAACGUACGACUGUUAAAAAAAAAAGAAAUUAACGUACGACUUCUCACGACGUCUAAGAAACAAAAAGUUGAGAAAGACAUUAACUGGUUCUGUCCAAACCGUCCACCGCUUUCACGUGUGGUUUCCACACUACCUCUCAUAUCUCAUGCUUAAAUGGAGAUAUUGAAAAAACCUUCGCUUUGAGAAAAUCACUGGACCAUGAGCUUAAUUAUCAAAAUAAUUAUCACAAAUGUACAGUCAACUAAAUAAUGAUGCUAAAGAUUGAAUUAAACACCAAGCUGGAGUAAAUAACUCAAAAAUAUGACUAAUUCAUUUAUGUGGCACUAGUAACUUCACAAAUUAAGUAACUCUUGAUCUAGUCCCUUAUAUAUUACAACUUCUUUUCGUAGUUACGUGUUAUCAAUAAGAUCAUUCUUAGAAUCAUUAGAAAUAUAUGUUGUUCCAUCUAAUUAUAUAAUAAGCUUUUUAUUAAAUUCACCAUAAAUUCAUUAUUAAUA